GGUCAGCUGACACAUCCCUGCCAAUCUCCGGCAGACCCUCCCUCCCAGACCCUCCCACGUCCUGGACAGCAUCCAUGUUGACGCUGCCUUCAACAUGGAUGCUGUCCAGGAAGUAGGAGGGUCUGGGAGGGAGGGUCUGCUGGAGAUUGGCAGGGAUGUGUCAGCUG
rnacentral:miRNA from 1 species